UUACGUUGGGUAUUGCUUUUUUCCUCUUCUAGCUCUCGCAGCAGAUGGAUAUGUCCAGGUAUAUUCAUUUCGGAUAUUUUUUGAUUGACGAGUUCUGCUACGUUUGUUGUUUGACUUGCUUCGUCCUGCUUUUCUGAAAUUUCUUUUUCCAAAAUCACCGAAGCUUUAAUUAUAACAGAGUUCAAAAAUUUUUGUUUUUUUUCGUCGUCUUUAACGUAAUUGUUUAAACUGAUAUUUGAAACGGGAGGAGGCAUCAAAGAGUCAGAAAUUUCCUGCAGCUGUUUAUAGUACUCAAUCCUUGAAUUAUAAGUCAACUGAAUUAUACUCAAUUCUUUUUCCAAUUUUUGGCAAAUUCUAGAUUGCUCCUUUGCCAUUGCAUCAAUCCGUUCAUAUUCUUCCAUGUUUUUAGAAGUUUCAAAACUUGAGGUGGAUCUAUUUGAUGCAUCUAACAGUCUUGAAACUAUAUUUAUUAAUGAUCCGUAUUGAUCUGCUUUUGGCCUUGCUUCUUCCCUUUCCUCAAAGUAAAGCAAAUAUUUUUUAUCACGUUCUUCAGCCUGCUUGUCUAACGAUUUCUCCGAUUUUUUUAUACUCUCUAUAAGUUUGUAUUUCUCAAGUUCUGUUUCAUGAGACACAAAGGUAUUAAUAGUACCGCUGACUGCCGCUACUCGAUCUGAAAGCAUUUGACGGUAAACAUCAAUACAAUAGGAUAUCUCUGAUUGCGCAUUCAAUGAUUCUUCGUAUUCAUCGCCGGUCGGAUCCGAUUCUUGAUCCAGAAGUGGAAGUUUCAUCAAAUGGAUAAGCCGAUCUCUAAAUUUUAUAAGCACCUCCUUUUGAUCAUUCAACUCUUUAUAAAGUCUAUUAUAGUCUUCAAUUAUACCAUGUCCGGUUAUGAGACCUUUUGCGUAAGAUUUCUGUAAUCGUGGUAUUUUGACAAGUUUCUUUGGAAUAAAUUUUUCUGAAAACUCUUCAAGGUGCUUGCUGGUUUUGAUAAUCACAUCACUCAUAAUCUUCCUUCUUAAAUCCUGCGCGAGCA